rnacentral:rRNA from 1 species
UUGCACGCUGGCGGCAGGCCUAACCCCUGCCAGUCGAGCGGAUGAAGGGAGCUUGCUCCUGGAUUCAGCGGCGGACGGGUGAGUAAUGCCUAGGAAUCUGCCUGGUAGUGGGGGAUAACGUCCGGAAACGGGCGCUAAUACCGCAUACGUCCUGAGGGAGAAAGUGGGGGAUCUUCGGACCUCACGCUAUCAGAUGAGCCUAGGUCGGAUUAGCUAGUUGGUGGGGUAAAGGCCUACCAAGGCGACGAUCCGUAACUGGUCUGAGAGGAUGAUCAGUCACACUGGAACUGAGACACGGUCCAGACUCCUACGGGAGGCAGCAGUGGGGAAUAUUGGACAAUGGGCGAAAGCCUGAUCCAGCCAUGCCGCGUGUGUGAAGAAGGUCUUCGGAUUGUAAAGCACUUUAAGUUGGGAGGAAGGGCAGUAAGUUAAUACCUUGCUGUUUUGACGUUACCAACAGAAUAAGCACCGGCUAACUUCGUG